ACUGUUAUGUCUCCCAGUACCACCCUGGAUACACACACACACACACACAGACACACGCACACACAGAGCAUAGUCAAGGAUUUGCUUGAAAUCAGCCAGUUCUAUGAUAUAAAAGGUAAUGCUUUUGUACCAAAUUACUCCUGCCUACUGCGGUGCACCUUUUAACGAGGCAGCCGGUGCCACCGGGAUCCCGGACAGUUCUCGCGUGCCGUUCUCCACGUACAAAGCCAACGGCCCCAUCUGCAACUUUGCUAACUUAGUUGGCUUCCGCCCAGCAGGCCCCCGAAGCACAGUCACUGUGAAAACGUUUUGAUAACAGAAAAUCAUUUCCACGACAGUGCAAGUGUUCGAAAGUACAAAGGCAAACACUGUCUACCCGCGACAGUUCGCAAGUUGCGGUGGCGGCGCGGCUGCGCGGAGCGCGCGUGCAGGAUUCUCUCCCCAGCCAUUGUGGUUUCAUGCCUUUGUACAGGCAGUGACAACUAAGGCUGACUGCUGCUGGCUGACAGCGAUUGUGGGCUGUAGUAUGACUUCAGAAAUAUUCAAAUGAGGGUAGAGUAACAUGGAAAGCGGAAAGCAGCUUUUAUUCACUCCAAGGACAACUAACUGACAUACAACGAAGGGCAGAAUAAGUCUCUAGAGGCUCUUCCAAAUUAUUUACUAGCUCGAGUCUGCUCCCUCAAAAGGAGCCUUAGUGCCUAACAAAAGUGGUAAGUUGUAAAAUGUAGGUCCUAAUUUUUACUGAAGUCAAAGGUUAAUAGUAAAAGGGGGGGGUUGAUCCCUCACUGUUUCAAGUUAAUGUUUAUUUUUCACCAUCAUUUAAAGAAUUUUUCAGGCCCUUUUUUCACUGCUGAAAGCAGAGUAAGAGAACUCAGAUUUCAUGCCCCAGGGCUUGAAUGAGGGAAUAAAAACAGCACAACAUUUGCAUCUAUUUAACUGCCUCAGUUCUCAGAGUCCCCUCUCAGUAAGAGGGGGGAAACCGUAUCUCUAGGUUAAAUGAAGCUUCUCUGAGAUAUUUGCCGAAAACACAAUUCAGAGAAAGAUAAUCAUUGUCAGAAAUGACCUAGGAAGUCAAGGCCUUAUGAUUGAAAACACAAAGCUUAGAAAGGUGCAUUCUCUUGCUUCUCUGCCUGCUCGGAUAUCAAUGAACAUCAGCUAAAGGUGGCUGAAGAACCAAUUUCAUGCAUCUACUGUAUGAGGAAAUGAACUGAGCCAAGGGCAAAAAUAAAAUUAUACAAAUGUUAUUAUAGACUAGCCUGCUUCUGUCCUAGUUUAAUUCAAAUUUUAGUGCUGCAGGCUUUGCUUCUGGCAGUAGCCUUCCUGAAUAAAUCAACAUUUGCUUACAUCUAAAUUAUUAGGGAAGCAUGUGACUUUGUUUAUUGUAUAAAUUAUACGCAAGGUUAAAGCAUUAACUGUUCAACUGGCUUUGUUCAGUCGCCUCCCCAACUCUCCCCCAAAUCAUCUCUCCCCUAAAUAGCAAAUAAAAAUCUGAAACUACUAAUUGUUUUCCGACAAACCAAAUAACAAAGCUGCAUUAUGAACCUGAGGUUAUGGAUGGAGAGCACUGUUAGGGGUGUGGCAGCAGACAGUCUUGGUGUUGAGGAAAAAGAAAGGUGCUCCGGCCCAAGAAAUUGUUCACCUGAGCUCUGAUGGGGCUUCUGCACAAAGGGAAAUGGUGAUCUGGUAAAUACUUGGUUAAGUUGAUUAAGGCGGCCAACCAAAUGGGAUAAUUUAAUACAAAAGGAAAGACAGCCUUUUGGCUAGGAUUUCAGUAAGCAAGGAAUUUCAAAUUAUAUUGCAAUGUUGGACCCAAACACUUUUAUUGCCUUUUCUGCUAGGAAGUUAGACACAGGCUGGAAAAUGCGCUUCGGAACAACGAUUUGUUUUUUGUUUGUUUUUCUCUCUGCACGUCACUGUGAAAUGACUCCUGAAAGACCAUCCAUACGUGUUCGGGAAAUAAGCAUGGGCUUUGAUAACUAGGCAAUUUGACUUUCUAAGUGUUUAGACAAGCCGAGUAUCAGGUGUGUCCUCCUAUGAGAACAUCCAAUUUAAAUAAACAUCAAGGGUUCAGAGUAGACAAAUCCGAAGGUAAUUGUUUGCUUUACAAAAGGUUCUUUCUAUAAGGUCAUCCACAAGAUGCUUCUUUUUAUUGACCUUUCCCACGGUAAUAAUUUGCAAAACUGUAAUUAAAUUCAAUCUUUUCCAAAAAUAUAUGUUUCUUUUUUCUUUUCAAGACUCACUGUAGAAACUCUAGCCUGCAGGUCAGAAGAUUUUUGUACAGAAUGAUCUUUUCCAAUCAAUUAUUUAAAUCUAAGGCGUGCUCAAGGGGAGAAUCAGUUUCCCAUUCAACCACUUAGGAUUCUUUGUCUCUGCAUCCUCAACUGGGCUUUGAGACCCUGGACAAUGAUUCUUCUAAUCUGGUCAAUGGACCACCUGCAAGAAUCACUCAGGAGUGGAGCCAGGCGUCUGCUCAGUAAUGUGACUGGGCUGCAUGUGCACUAACAUUUGAGAACUACUUUUGCAGAGUCUAAUAUGGAAGCAAACUGUGUCAUUCUCUCUACUCCCUCCCACGUGCUUUGCGUCAUCUCCUAGUCAUUGUGUCCUGCAGCCCAGCCCAAACGGCUUCCUAAUCCCUGCCCUGCUUUGUGUUGGUCAAGAAGGGGAUCUCUAGAGCACAC